AUUUUUGUAACUUUUUAUAAUGAGACUUAUACAGUGAUUUAAAUUAUAUACAGGAUGCUCAGCCAGCACAAAGCUGUGGUGAGAUUUGGGCCCAAGUCUCUGACUCCAGAUUCCAAACCACAUUAAAAAAAAAAAAAAUCACCUGCAGACUGCCUAUAGCUUUAACAGUCUCUGUCUCCCCUUCAUUCACAUCCUUCGAGUGGAGAAAAGUUUGUGAAUAUUUAGUAAAUUUGAUUCAAUAGACAUUUUAUUUUUUUGUAAAGAUGAUGGGGUCUUGCUAUGCUGCUCAGGAUGGUCUUGAACUCCUGACCUCAAGUGAUCCUCCCACCUCUGUCUCCCAAAGUGCUGGAAUUACAGAUGUGAGCCACUGCGCCCUGCCUGGUUUGGUAGUUUCUUAAAAGUGAAAAUUAGACCUACCAUGUGAUCCAGCCAUUCCACUACUAGGUAUCUACCCAAGAAAAAUAAAAGCAUGUUUCCACACAAAGACUUGUAUACAAAUAUUCAUAGCAACUUUAUUUGGAAUAGCAAAAAAAAAAAAGGAAAACAACCCGAACAGCCAUCAGCAGCUGAAUGGAUAAACACAUGGUGGUAUAUCCAUACAAUGAAACACUACUUAGCUGUGAAAAAGGAAUGAAUUAUUGAAACAAUAUCCCUGCUCAGGAGCAGGAUUUGGAGAAUAUAAGAAGCAUAUCUUUUAUAAUUUAAAAACUUGCUUUCUAAGAUUUGAACUGAAAGAUCUUUUUUGUAGAUGAGUCAUGGAAUUGACAUGAUUUGAAGUGUUAUGGCACUUCAUAUGAAUAAAAAAAUCGAAGUUGCUAACAAGUUCCAUGUACUUAAAAGUAUUGGGACAGAGCGCUCAAAGCUAUGAAAAGUUUUGGACCACCCAUGAAUAUGAGAUAAGAUUAACAAGAGAGGAGAAGUAAGUGAAAAAUAUGGCUUUCCAUGCAUUUCAAAUUUUGUGAAUUACCAUUGAAAGCUAGUGAUGAAAUGUUACUCUCUAGGAGUCAGUGUUUUCACAUCUAAAAAUAGUAUCGGUCAUAGAAAAAGCUUAUCUGUCUACUGCCAAAAAGGGAAGAGGGUAAUAGCACGUAUUGAGCACCUACUAUAUAUUCAGAUGAGGUCCUGCCAUACGAAAUUCAGUCUCUGCUGCUCUGGGGGCCAUGCAGUCGUCUUUAGAUAAUAGGUGUGGAGCUAGGGGUUCCGCUGUGAAGUAACCUUCCUUCCCGGGGUGCUCAGCCAGCACAAAGCUGUGGUGAGAUUUGGGUCCAGGUCUCAGACUCCAGAUUCCAAACCACAUUUAAAAAAAAAAAUCAUCACCUGCAGACUGCCUAUAGCUUUGACAGUCUCUCUGUCUCCCUUUCAUUCACAUCCUUCGGGUGGAGAAAGGUUUAUGAAUAUUUUAGUAAAUUUGAUUCAAAAGACAUUUCUUGAUUAUCACAUUGGUUCUCAAAGUGUGGUCCCUGGACCAGUGACAUCAGCAUUACCUGCGCACUCUUUAGAAAUGCACAUUCUCAGGCCUACUCCUGAUUCCCAAUCCAGAAACGCAGUGUGGGUCUAACAAUCUGUUUUAACAAGUCCUCUGGUUCGCUCCAGGCUCCAGGGUGGGACAGUCACUGGUGCUUCUGCCGGCUGGGACAACAGGGCCCCAGUGUGGAACUUGCAGCCCGUGACCCCCUCCUAAUGGCUCCUCUCAGUUCCCAUGGUCCCAAAAGCCCUCCGUCCCCUGCAGGGCUGCCCCACAGUGGCCUUCCACAUCCUCCUGAUAGCAGAGGCCCCCGCCACCCCCAGGGCCGCCUCUGCAGCUGUGCCGCAGCUCCUCUGCCCAGGCACCUGCACUGACACGGAGCACCCUGUAGGUUGUCUGCUUGAGGCCUCUACCUAAAUGCUUGCCGCAGCUGUUUCUAAACUACAAAAGCACACAACCAUGAGAUGAGGCAGAGGUGGGCUGAGUGCCACAAUGGAUGCCAAGAGGAAGAGAGAUGGACAUGGCGCUGGGAGGCUCUGGGCGCCACUGGAGUGGGGCGCUCAGUUCCCAGGCUGCCCUGGCCGGGAGAGGAGUUGAGUCUUAAUCUCCUUUAAGGAAACAUAAUAAAUAAACUACUUUGCCACUAGAGUGAUUUAUGUGUUGAUUUGGGUGGAAUCUCUUUCAUGAACACAUUUUAUGUUUUUUUUAAAAAAAUUAGAUUAUUCCUUGGCCAGGUGUGGGCACAGGGUGACUCACGCCUGCUAUCCCAGCACUUUGGGAGGCCAAGGUGGGUGCAUCACUUGAGGUCAGGAGUUCAAGAUCAGCCUGGCCAACAUGGUGAAACUCUGUCUCUACUAAAAAUACAAAAAUUUGCUGAGUGUUGUGGCAGGUGCCUGUAAUCCCAGCUACUUGGGAGGCUGAGGCAAGAGAAUCGCUUGAACCCAGGAAGCAGAGGUUGCAGUGAGCCGAGAUCAUGCCACUGCACUCUAGCCUGGGCAACAGAAUGAGACUCCAUCUUAUAAAUAAAUAAAUCAAUUAGAUUUCUUACCACUACAGUGAAGCAUAAUUUUCUGAUUUAGGCAACUACCCUAAAGGGAAAUAAAACUAAGUGAGAUUCCAAAUGGUCUCAGAUUUAGUAACUACUGUAAUACCUGUAGUGCACAAUCAAAUGCUUAUAGGAAGUGAAAUAGAACGCGGCCGAUACCUGUGGAAAAGUGCUUCAAUUGUCUUAUGUCUAUGACCAGCCUAAGCUCAUAGCCGUACAGAUAUGUAUACCAUAAAUGUGCUGAAACUAAGUUAAAUUUCUUGUUUUUAAUUGUCUUAAGUAUCAAACUUGGAUCAUCAGAACAUGUUGGAAAAACACAGCUCUGAAGCCCACUUAUUAAGCACCUGUGCUGUAUCGAACAUUUUACAUUUGUUCAUUUAACAUAUCUAGAUAAAUCUACUCAUUUACAGCUGUAGUGAUCCAAGAUUUGGUCACAGCAGAUUAAAACAAAACCUUUAAGUUAAAAAUAAUGUUAAAAUCGGUGAAUAUAUUAAUGCUAUGAGAAUCUUUGCCUAUGAGAAUACAGAACUUUGGCCCAAAUAUUUGAUUAAUCUACAGGGUUAUAUACAUUUGGAGCACAGUUUUGUUGUUUGUUUGUUUUUAAUCCUCUUCCCAAAAAUGGGUUUCUUUAGGCAGCUUGAGACUCCUGUGUUAGACUUAAGAGGAAAAGGAGUGGGUGCCUCUCAACUGGGACCAGUGGACAUUAUUAUGGGAAUAUACCAAUGGUGGCAGGUUGAUGA
rnacentral:lncRNA from 1 species